ensembl:lncRNA
UAGGUCAUUUAACACGGGACCUAAUGUUCAUGGGGAAACUCCAUCCCUUCAAGGUGCUCUUGAACCCUUAACAUGCUCACAAUGCAGUGUCUGCUGUUUUAUUUAUCAUUUGCAUUCUGGCGUUUUAUGGAUAAAUAAGCUGCAAAAGUGAAUUCUGAGGGAAUGUUCUCAAUCUUGGGAUUUCUUAAGAUGCAUUGAAGACCUCCAGUCACUAGAAAAAAUGCCAACUUUAGAAAAACAACAUCUUCUCUGCUUCAUUGUGGUUUCCAUGGAUACAAUCAAUGGUCUGAGUCGCAGAAUGCAGGAAGAACCAGGUGUUGAGAUCUCAGCAGGUGUGAGGACAAAGCCACCUGAUGCAAAGAGAUUAAAGCAUCUUUUUAGCGGCGCAGAGCGGAGCAACAUUGCACUUCCUCAUACAUCAUGUGUGUCAACACUCAAAUCUACUGCAUUGAAAAUUGCCCCACAAAUCAGCAAGCAAUAAAGGAAACAGA